UACGUAGGUGGCAAGCGUUUAUCCGGAAUUAUUGGGCGUAAAGCGCGCGCAGGCGGUUUCUUAAGUCUGAUGUGAAAGCCCACGGCUCAACCGUGGAGGGUCAUUGGAAACUGGGGAACUUGAGUGCAGAAGAGAAAAGCGGAAUUCCACGUGUAGCGGUGAAAUGCGUAGAGAUGUGGAGGAACACCAGUGGCGAAGGCGGCUUUUUGGUCUGUAACUGACGCUGAGGCGCGAAA
rnacentral:rRNA from 1 species